GCCCUCGUUGAUCAUGGUGAUCACCCACCACCUAUUACUGAGUUCCAUAAUGUGAAUAAUUUGAGCGGGCAGCGGGGGUUCGAUUCCCCCCGAGGGCA